rnacentral:lncRNA from 1 species
GGGACGCUAACAAACUGAGCCACCCAGGGGCUACCCCAACAAUCUCUUCUAACUGCUAACUUCUAGCUACAAGGGAGACAGAGCACAUUGCCACGCAAAUAAAAUUCAGUUUCUGUUACGAAGAACAAGGGAGAAUAAAAGGAAUAUCACGGUGCUGGAGAAUAAGAAAAUGCCACAUAUAGGUAGCUAAUGAAAACUCCUAGAUGGUAAUAGUGAAGAUAAUGAUUCUGAGGAUGACAAUCUAUGCACAUUGGAUUAUCCUGCUUUGGGGAGACUGGAAGCAACAGUGAAUCUGAGAGUCUUGUUCAGAGCCAGGGGAGAAUGUAGAAGACUCUCCAUCAUGAGAGCUGCAGAAAAAGGAUCACAUCAAAAGCCCCCCCCCCAAAAAAAAGAAGAUAAAAAGGGUAAAGCCAUUUGGACAAUUAUUCUUAACCAGAUUAAACUCUGAAAAAUCC